AUUGAACGCUGGCGGCAUGCCUUACACAUGCAAGUCGAACGGUAACGCGGGGCAACCUGGCGACGAGUGGCGAACGGGUGGGUAAUGCAUCGGAACGUGCCCAGUAGUGGGGGAUAGCCCGGCGAAAGCCGGAUUAAUACCGCAUACGACCUACGGGUGAAAGCGGGGGACCGUAAGGCCUCGCGCUAUUGGAGCGGCCGAUGUCAGAUUAGGUUGUUGGUGGGGUAAAAGCUUACCAAGCCGACGAUCUGUAGCUGGUCUGAGAGGACGACCAGCCACACUGGGACUGAGACACGGCCCAGACUCCUACGGGAGGCAGCAGUGGGGAAUUUUGGACAAUGGGGGCAACCCUGAUCCAGCCAUGCCGCGUGCGGGAAGAAGGCCUUCGGGUUGUAAACCGCUUUUGUCAGGGAAGAAACGCUCUGGGCUAAUACCCCGGGGUAAUGACGGUACCUGAAGAAUAAGCACCGGCUAACUACGUGCCAGCAGCCGCCGUAAAAC
rnacentral:rRNA from 1 species